rnacentral:rRNA from 1 species
UUCGGUCUGGUGGCGAGUGGCGAACGGGCGAGUAAUAUAUCGGAACAUACCCUAGAGUGGGGGAUAACGUAGCGAAAGUUACGCUAAUACCGCAUACGAUCUGAGGAUGAAAGUGGGGGAUCGCAAGACCUCAUGCUCAUGGAGUGGCCGAUAUCUGAUUAGCUAGUUGGUGAGGUAAAGGCUCACCAAGGCGACGAUCAGUAGCUGGUCUGAGAGGACGACCAGCCACACUGGAACUGAGACACGGUCCAGACUCCUACGGGAGGCAGCAGUGGGGAAUUUUGGACAAUGGGGGCAACCCUGAUCCAGCAAUGCCGCGUGAGUGAAGAAGGCCUUCGGGUUGUAAAGCUCUUUUGUCAGGGUAGAAACGGUGAUCGCUAAUAUCGGUUGCUAAUGACGGUACCUGAAGAAUAAGCACCGGCUAACUACGUGCCAGCAGCCGCGGUAAUACGUAGGGUGCAAGCGUUAAUCGGAAUUACUGGGCGUAAAGCGUGCGCAGGCGGUUAUAUAAGUCAGAUGUGAAAUCCCCGGGCCCAACCUGGGAACUGCAUUUGAGACUGUAUGGCUAGAGUGUGUCAGAGGGGGGUAGAAUUCCACGUGUAGCAGUGAAAUGCGUAGAUAUGUGGAGGAAUACCGAUGGCGAAGGCAGCCCCCUGGGAUAACACUGACGCUCAUGCACGAAAGCGUGGGGAGCAAACAGGAUUAGAUACCCUGGUAGUCCACGCCCUAAACGAUGUCUACUAGUUGUUGGGUCUUAAUUGACUUAGUAACGCAGCUAACGCGUGAAGUAGACCGCCUGGGGAGUACGGUCGCAAGAUUAAAACUCUAAGGAAUUGACGGGGACCCGCACAAGCGGUGGAUGAUGUGGAUUAAUUCGAUGCAACGC